rnacentral:rRNA from 1 species
AGUGAACGCUGGCGGUAGGCCUAACACAUGCAAGUCGAACGGCAGCACAGUAAGAGCUUGCUCUUACGGGUGGCGAGUGGCGGACGGGUGAGGAAUACAUCGGAAUCUACUUUUUCGUGGGGGAUAACGUAGGGAAACUUACGCUAAUACCGCAUACGACCUACGGGUGAAAGCAGGGGAUCUUCGGACCUUGCGCGAUUGAAUGAGCCGAUGUCGGAUUAGCUAGUUGGCGGGGUAAAGGCCCACCAAGGCGACGAUCCGUAGCUGGUCUGAGGGGAUGAGCCGCAACCCUGGAACGCAGACACGGAACAGGCUCCCGCAGGGGGCAGGAGGGGGAAACGUUGGACAACGGGAGAAAACCUGGCCCAGCCCUACCGAGGGGGGAAAGAAAGCCUUCGGGUUGUAAGACCCUUUUGUUAGGAAAAAAAAGCGGAGGGUUAAAACCCCGGUGUUGUGACGGUACCCAAAAAAUGAGAACCGGCCAACUUGGU